UACGGAGGGUGCAAGCGUUAUCCGGAUUUAUUGGGUUUAAAGGGUGCGCAGGCGGGACCUUAAGUCAGUGGUGAAAUCCCUUCGCUUAACGAAGGAACGGCCAUUGAUACUGAGGUUCUUGAAUCUAGUUGACGUUAGUGGAAUGUGUCAUGUAGCGGUGAAAUGCUUAGAUAUGACACAGAACACCGAUCGCGAAGGCAGCUAACGAAGCUAGUAUUGACGCUCAGGCACGACAGCAUGGGGAGCAAACAGG
rnacentral:rRNA from 1 species